GUGCCAGCAGCCGCGGUAAUACGGAGGGUGCAAGCGUUGUUCGGAAUCAUUGGGCGUAAAGCGCGCGCAGGUGGCUUGCCAAGUCUGGCGUGAAAUCCCGGGGCUCAACCUCGGACGUGCGUUGGAAACUGGUAGGCUUGAGUUUGGGAGAGGUUCGUGGAAUUCCAGGUGUAGGGGUGAAAUCCGUAGAGAUCUGGAGGAACACCGGUGGCGAAGGCGACGAACUGGACCAACACUGACACUGGGGCGCGAAAGCGUGGGGAGCAAACAGGAUUAGAAACCCCAGUAGUCC
rnacentral:rRNA from 1 species